rnacentral:rRNA from 1 species
CUUAACACAUGCAAGUCGAACGGUGAACGAGGGGAGCUUGCUCCCUCCGGAUCAGUGGCGAACGGGUGAGUAACACGUGAGCAAUCUGCCCCGAAACUCUGGGAAUAAGGCGCUGGGAAACGGCCGGUCUAAUACCGGAUACGACGCGCGAAGGCCAUCUUCUGCGCGUGGAAAGAAAUUUCGGUUCGGGAAUGAGCUCGCGGCCCUAAUCAGCUAGUUGGUGAGGUAAACGGCCUCACCAAGGCGACGACGGGUAGCCGGCCUUGAAGAGGGUGACCGGCCCACAUUGGGACUGAGACACGGGCCCAGACUCCUACGGGAGGCAAGCAAGUGGAGAAUAAUUGCACAAUGGGCGCAAGCCUGAUGCAAGCAACGCCGCGUUGAGGGGACGACGGCCCCUUCGGGUUGUAAACCUCUUUUAGUAGGGAAAAGAAGCGGAAAGUGACGGUACCUGCAGGAAAAAAAAGCACCGGCUAACUACGUGCCAGCAGCCGCGGGUAAUACGUAGGGUGCGAGCGUUUAAUCGGAAUUACCGGGCGUAAUAAAGCGUGCGCAGGGCGGUUUCGUUGUGUCUGAUGUGAAAGCCCCGGGCUCAACUUGGGAAUGGCAAUUGGAAACUGGCGAGCUAGAGUGUGGCAGAGGGGGGGUGGAAUUCCGCGUUGUAGCAGUGAAAUGCGUAGAGAUGCGGAAGGGAACACCGAUGGCGAAGGCAAGCCCCCUGGGCUGACACUGACGCUCAGGCACGAAAGCGUGGGGAGCAAACAGGAUUAGAUACCCUGGUAAGUCCACGGCCCCUAAACGAUGGCAACUGGGUGUUGGGGGGGAAAGCGAUUCCUUGGUACCGUAGCUAACGCGUGAAAGUUUGCCCGCCCUGGGGAGUACGGCCGCCAAGGUUUAAUAAACUCAAAGGAAUUGACGGGGACCCGCACAAGGCGGUGGAGCAUGUGGAUUAACUCGAUACUAACCGAAAGAACCUUACCCAGACUUGACAUCGAUCGCAAGCCUCAGAAAUGGGGGCCCUCUCCCACAAGGAGACGUGAAGACACUUGUUUGCAUGGCUGUCGUCAGCUCGUGCCGUGAGGUGUACGGUUAAGUCCGCCCAACGAGCGCAACCCUCGACCUGUGUUACCAGCACGAAAGGUGGGAGCUCACAGGUGACCGCCGGUUGGUAAAUCGGAGGAGGGGUGGGGAUGACGUCAAGUCAGCAUGGCAGUUACGUCUGGGGCUUCACACAUGCUACAAUGGGGCGCAAACGAAGGGGCAAGCAACACCGUGAGGGUAGAGCCAAUCCCAAAAAAUACGCCCCCCAGUUCAGAUUGCAGUCUGCCAACUCGACUGCAUGAAGGCGGAAUCGCUAGUAAACGCAGGUCAGCUAUACUGCGUUGAAUACGUUUCCCGGGUCUUGUACACACCGCCCGUCAAGUCACCUGAAUUGUCUUCACCCGAAGUCCGUGGCCCUAACCGUAAGGAAGGAGCGGCCCGAAGGUGAGGGGGAGUAAGGGGGACU